UUUGCGCGGUAUGAGCAGGAAUAGGCGCCAUUUACCUGCAGGCAGAUCACGGAUCAGCCAGUUUGAUGUGCAGAGGAGAGUGCAGUGUGUCAGAUAUUUGGGUUGGCUGCUUCGUGUCAGGUUGGCAUGCUUUCCGUAAUUGGAGGUGAAAACCUCAAAGCUACUACCUGGAGGCUGAUGAGCACAAUGUACAGUUCGACUGGGUUGGACGAGGUGUCAAAAGUGCUUUCAAGGAUCUUCUUCUGAAAAACAUCAUUUUCAGAGCUGUAAGGGCUAAUGUUUUUACAAAGAGUGCCACGGAGGAGCCUUUCAGCCUUGGCAAUGAACUGGCUACGAUAUGCCAAAGACCGCAGUGGAGGCAGGAGGCAGAGGUCAGAGGCUGCUGCAGCAUCUCAAGAGAUGGG